CUGCUUUGGAUUCUGUGUCUCUCGCCCUCUGUCCCUCCCCUGCUUACGCCCUCUCAAAAAUAAGUGAAUGCGCGUUAAAAAAAAAUUUUAAACAAAAAAAAAUAAAUUUCUACAUAAACAAAAACCCCAAUGCUAUUCCUGGGUACAGAGCUGAGGCAGUCAGAAAGAAAACGCUGAACCCCAUCUUAGCACAACUCGGAGCCCUGAAGCCGUAAGAGGCUGAUACACACAGCAGAGAGGCAGGCAUGUUCUGUGGGAACGGGCCAAGCGGGGAGGGCAGGUGCGCUGCCCACCGGCUGCCGGAAGCCACAGUGCGUCCUCCAGGAGGCCAGAGCUGCCCGUCAGCACGGCGGUGACGGCUUCCCUGCCUGUGUUCCUCAGAGACGCUUCCGUUUUUCACACUGAGCAACUGUUAGCUUUAGGACCAGUCGAGGCAACGAGGACCACGACUCACGGUGUCCUGCCAGAACCCGCCCGGAGGACGCGGUGGCUGCUGCCUGGCUGGGAGGGGUCUUACUUGUGCUUGUUCCCACUUUUGACCAGGUCUUCAAUGUCCAGGAUGGAGGUAGUCAGCUCCUGCUCCAGGCUCUUCUCUGGGGAAAGAGGCAGGAGUAAAGACGUGUCCUCAGGCCCACUGAGUCCCCGCAGACCCCAGAGGGACGCCCAGAACAGCAUGGCUCCCACAUAGUGAGCAGUGGCCACGGCCACCCCAAGACUCUCCCUCAGGGCAAGACGGGGGCACCCCCCCGCCAGGGACUCACCAGAGAGAACUCCUGCCCUGUCAGCCUGAGGGUCACCUGGGAAGGACCCCAGACCUUAAGCGAUCCUUAGGGAGCCCUGCCCUGUACCUCAGAAGGUGGCUGCUGGCCUGAGACUGAUAAAUAGGAGAGGGGAUCCCUGGGAACUUGGGGGUUACGGGGCUGGAGGGGGUGCACAGCCCCACAGCCCGUCACCACCAUCCCAGACACUCUGGAGGUCGUGCCCUGGGAGCAUCUGUCUUACUAGUAGGCUUCAGUCUGGCACCAAGUUGCUUUCUCUCCCUGCCCCCACCCCCAAAUGUCAACAGUGCAGGGAGCACAGAGCAGAGGCAGGGCAGACAGGAAGGAUGGGGCGCCCCGAGGCAGAACCCGCCUGACAGACCCAGGGCCCCUCCCUCGGGACAGCAGCCCAUAAGCACCACACCCUGCUGGCUGUCCACCCUGCUGGCUGGACAGCCAGGUGGCCCAGGGCAGAAAGGUGCUCCAGAAGGGGCACAGGACCUUCCCAGGGCCCCAGGAACCCUCUGGGGAGCUGCUUUAACCCGGCCACUCGGGAGCCCUCGCCCAGGCUGGCGGGACCAGGGCUCUCCUCUAAAAAACACCCGAGGGCCCCAGGGCAGCCUCCUGUGGAACUGGGCUCCCGGCUCCCGGCCCCACUGUGGCAGGUACCAGGCCCAGUCCACUGCAGAAGCCGGAACACAGUGACCCGACCCCGAAAUGGCCCCAGGGACAGCAGGGAGAGAAGCUGCAAGCUGGCACCGCCAUAGCAACAGAGCAGCCAACCCCAGGCUCUGUGGCAGGCCAGCCCGGAGCCCGGACACCCUCCUGGGGCAGGGGUGUGGGUUGCGAAGGGGUCCCAGCCAGCGCGGACCCCGGCACGCAGAGGCUGCGGGCGGCCAGCAGGGCCCUUCGCCUGCUUCCCCAGAUGCAGGCCAGGCAGCGCUCCGGCUCUGCACCUCUCUUCCUCCUAUCGUGCCUCUCCUCCUCUCAGACCCCCCCUGCAGUCUCUGCUCACUCUCCCCAGCGCUGGGCAGCUUCUGGCGAUGCCCCCUCACGUCCCACGGCAGGGCAGAGGAGGCUGAGACACGGACCUCGGACAGGGCGUGCGGCAAGAACCAGAGCAAAACGCGGAGGCUGGGGAUCAGGGGACGACCGAUGGAGGCUGGAGCCAGCAGGGCAGACGGGACGGCACCCACACUCUGCCGUGCGGGGCGGGGAGAUCGGAGGGGGGUGGUCUGCAGCCCAGAGGACCAGCACACGCCAGCUCCAGCACUGACUCCGCUUUGGGCUGAAAGUGCCCCUCAGCUCCCACCACCCACCUCUGGACUCCUGACCCAUCCCUGCUCCAGCACCCACCAGACAAGAAGUCCUUGACAGGUGUGAGGGGCACCCCCACCGUGGAAAAGCAAAGAUCUGACAGAUUUGGAGUCAAGGGCACCAGCGCCAGCCCUCCACUCUGGGCCCGAGGAGAGGAAGCAGUAUGCACCAAGGCCGUGGGCACCUGCACAUGCACCCAUCGAGCCACACUAGGGCCAGCUGUUGUCAUGACCCUGUGCCAGUCACUUCAGCCACCUCUGGGAGAGGCUGCCCACUCCCCGACACAGCACCAAAAGACAGAGCACUCCCAGGACUCAGGGGAGCCACGGUCAAAGGACACAUGCCGAAAUCAGAAGGAAAAGCCGGUGGAGUUCGGGAGACCACGGAGAAGCUUCCAGAACCCCCUCCCUGAGCUAACUCCCCCAGAAUGAGCCGAGACUAUGUGUGAAAUGCUGUCUACUGGGAGGUUCGCCAGAAGCCCAGCGCCCAGGGCUUUUGCUGGGGGCUGGUCACGUAGGCAGCCCUGGCUGGAGAGCACCCCAAUUCCAGACUCUGCUCAGCAUAAACCAUGUUGUUUGCACCAACAGUUUAGGCCCUGAGAGCCCCUACCAGGGAAUGGUGAAGCCCUGAAAUCCCAGUUCCCAAACCGCAGCAAGGCCAGCCUUGCCAGGAGGCCCCUCUGGGAUGGAGGCCUCUCCUGCCCCGGCGUAUGAGCCGUUCUGCACACGACCCAGGGCAGGCCCGCGGCCAGGAGACAGUGCUCGGACCACUGCACCUCGCUGAGCCCCCGCGGCCACUCUGGAGCCCGAAGGGGAGAGCCAGCAGGCCACGAGGCCUAAGAGGCUGCACGUGCUCCAAGCCCACCUGGCUGUACGCUGAGCGAGCAGCAGGAGUGGCUUCCACGAACCCCCUCUCACCUUCCACGUUGUUGUAGAAGUGACAGGAACGACUGGCCACCUUUUUCCGGCACAAGUGGAUCUGGUAAAAAGAGGGAGCAGGCCCGGCGGGCACAUGGUCAAGAAAGGACAGCGCACCGGGCCAGCCAGGGAGCACCUUGCCCGAUGUGUGGAGAGCGAGUCCUGUCCCAGCCCUGCCCCCGCCAGCUCUUCACCGGGCUGUCCCGCGGGGGCACAGCUGAGGGAAAGAGCCACCCCAGGAGCCCACCUGCAUGUGGUUACUCUCCUGCUUCUUCACCUCAGGGUGGAUACACAGCUGCUCCCGGGAACCCAGCACACAUACCCUGGGCCUGGCAGAAGAGAGAGCCGUGGGGUCCAAGAACCAGAGGGCACCAGCUCCCAGCGCCAUCCGGCAGCAAGAGCAUGCGCUACGGGGGGCACAGCGGGAGACAGAACUCACAAGAGGGAGUGGCUGGGGCCAGAACGGCGGCCCCCAGGCUUGGGCGGCACUCUCUCUGCUGCAUCGCCCAGAGUGAGCAAGGAGACAAGGCAGGGGAAGCGGGGCAGACGGAGGAGACCCCACCUACUCUGUGCUCCCCCACCCAGGAGGCUGGGGCAGGACGCCAGGACCCCCGCAGCUGUGCAGGGCUCCGACAGAGGCAGGGCCGCCCCCUUCACGCGCCUGCCACGGUGACCCGCGCCCACAGCUGACACCACACUGCUUUCCAGGACCUCAGGCUGCCGCUAACCCAGCCGCUUUCUCAUAAGCAGUGGGCAGCAGGGUCAGCCUGGCCCGCACACAGCCCUGGACGCGGAGCAGACAGUACCCUCCGGGCAGGGUCCAGGCAGAAUGCCACCAUCAACCACCUGGCCAAGGCCAACCCCCCGUAACUCCGAGGCAGGGGUGAGUGCCGCCUGGCCCUACCGGUAGGAGGUGCUCCGAAGCUCGCUGAUGACCUGAGUGAGCUGCGAGUGGGUCCUGGAGGCAUAAAUGAUCUUUGGGACGUCCGAGUAGCAGGCUGCCCAGACACAAGGAAGCAGGGCAGGUCACAGUUCCGGCAGACAAUGUUCUCGCAGGCUGUUAACCCAAGGGCACGUGGCCAACUCGACCCUGCGCACCCAGCCCCAGGAACGAGCUAUGUGGCUAGCCGCGGCGUUCUAGUGUGAACACCUGGCUCCGACCUGAGGCUCACGGCCAGAUGCUGGGAAAGAACAGAGCAGCCUCACCAGCCCACUCUGUCCCUGCGUUUCUUCUCUACGGAGCCCCAGAGGGGCCGAGAGGAGCCUCACCUGUGCUGUCUCCAUCGGAAGCGGCAGCUCCCCAGGACAAGGUGUGAUCGACAAAAAGCACCCCCUGCGCCCUCUCGGCGAUCUUGCGGGCAGAGAUGGUGUCACGGAGGUGCUCCCGCCAGGCCAGCGUGGUGCAGAGGAGGCACAGUGUCUUCCCUGUGCCUGUGGGGCUCUCCAGGAUGCCGUUCACUUUCUGAACGGGGUCAGGAACAAGGUCACGGGGAAGCAGAGAGAGGCAGUGCAGACCACACCGCCCACCUGACACUGGUCUGGGGCAGUUCUGUCCAGGCAGAGCCCACCCAGCAGGUGGCAAAAGGCCUGGGGAACAGUGGACAACUGGACAGUGCUUCCACUCUCAAACCAAAAGCCAAAAGCUACCGGGUUAAUUCAGCCCUCAUUAACAAACAGCUUGCAGAACAUCACAUAAAGUAUUUUUCCGCGUAACAUAAGUAGUAAAGUGACUAAUUAGGUUCCAAGUCUCAAGACAGAAGACUGUUCUGCGACUUUGCAUGCAGACAUUCGCACUGUCUGAACAGAACCUGACGACCUAUGUAGACCUGCAUGCACAGGCGGGAGCCCGAGCCGCAAACCCUGAGACACACAAAGGCACAUCAGCAAAGCUGUGCCCCUCGCUCCCGGGACUGGGCACCAGGCUCCUCACUGCAGGAGUCCGUGUCCAGAACAGCAGUCAGGAGCCCCUCAGGGGCUGGGAGCUUCAGGAGGGUGUGAGAGAGCCUAGCAAGAAAGCCAGCAGGAAGCAGCCCGCACCCCCCCCCCCCAACUUUCCUGCACGCCCCUGGGGUUUGAAGACCUUCCAAAAUGACAGUUGGGCACUGACUAUCCCUCCAUGUGGAAAUACCUCCCCCGGAUCCUCAAGUGGGCCUCAGGGUGCUCCCAAGCCUAUGACCUCACGACUACCCUUAGGAGUGAAAAGUGUCUUUUUCCGCCUACUUCCCUAUCGUCUUUCCUAGAACCCCAGCCCCAUUUAUGACUGAGUCCUGUAUCCAGAGGGAGACCUCAUUCCCAGCAGGGCCCAGCAGGAGUGAACAGGAAGGUGGACCCACUCCCAGGGCACAAAGCCCCUCAUCUGCAGCUGUACCUUCUGCAGACACUCCAGGACCUUGCUCAUGUACUCCUCCUGGCAUUUGUACGGCUGGAAGGGGAAGUCCACUGUCACGCCAUUCAGGGCUAUCUUGGGCAUACUGGCCUGUUCUCAGGAAGGCACUGAGACUGGCUGAUAUGCAGGCUGUGAGACAAAACCCCUCCGAACAUCUCAGGAUCUUCGCCACAGCGGGUAAGUGAUGCCAGCCAGCGGCGCUGGGACGUGACCCUGCUCCCAGCAGGAAGCCCUAUGGCAGAGACGGCAAGACUGCUUAUAGCAGGCCUUUCUGGAGUGCCAAGCCACCUCACCGAUCGAUGGGGCAGGCCCUCCCCCCCUGCAAGGUCGAAGGCAAGCCUGUGAUGUCCUAUCAUAAGGAGCUCGGGAAGAUGAGGAACCUACACGUCAGCCCUGCCUCGUUCUCCCGCCCCGCGCAGCUGGGUCCUGCUCGGGGAGAGUCGGCCAGACCCACAGAAACAACGACAGCCGGGGCCCGGGUGCAGUCCCACAAGCUCCGCCUGCAGUAAUUCACUUAGUGCCAGCGGAGCUGGAGAGGCCAGACCCCCGGCUUGGGCCGGCCUCAACGUCCAGUCCCAGUUUCGCCUGGACACUGGGGCUAACGGACAGUUCACGUAAACACCGAAUGACGGCCCUCCCUGCAGAGCCCGGCCCGCAGGGGAACCACCGCCCGGGAACCUGCUCCGCGCGGCGCGGGGCGCAGGCCACGAGAACAGGAAAACUACCGGCCCCAGAAGGCCGCGCGGCAGAAUGGCCGACGCGCGGGCGCAGAGUGGCGCGGGGCCUGCCGGGAGCUGCAGUUUCGGGAGGCGCCGCUCGGGUAAAAGUAUCAGUUCCAGGGUCUGUGCGACUCACGGCCCAACGGGUGUCCGCGGGGAGCCUUGCACGACCCGGGGUCCCCAGGAAUUUACCCCAGUUUACCGAAGCACGACACCGCGUCUCCUCCGCCGUCAGCCGGUUCGGGCUUGGCGGGCUGAGGCGCACAAUCGUCACUGAACGCGCUGCACUUCCGUCCCUAAUUCCGGUCCGCUGCGCGUCGCUCCCCGCGGAAACCGUUCCGCUGCGGAGGGGUCCGCGCGCUCGGUUCCAGGCCCCACCCUGCCCCCGCCGUCGACCCUGAGCCUGGGGAACGGCACCUCCAUCGCCCGCAGGCAGAAACCUAGGGUUCCAGCCGUCUCCUCCCUCGAUGCUUUCCCCACCAGAGCCUGCAUUCCAUCACUCCUCCCUGGGCUGAGCCACCUGGAUUGUCCAGACAAUUGCACAAACCUUCGGAUUGGUUAGCUGUGAUCCCUCCUCCCCUUUUCUCCCCAAGGGCUACUCGGGCCUGGAGACCCUCAGCCGACUUUCUAGACAAUGUCCCCCCCGACUGGUGAGGGUGGACCCCCCUGACUCCCCAGCACCUAGCACCGGCUGGCAGUCAGCAGUGGGACCAAGGGGUCUGCACAGCUCUGUAGGCUGUAGGUAUUUGUAGAUGACCCCAGCCUGUCCCAAAAGGCACCAGCCAGCUGGCAAUGCUGACAUCAGAGUUUCUCAUGGGCUCUGUUUAAUGCCUAGAUGUGUGACAUUGUGCUUAGAGAAGCACGUGGACCACUGGCAUCCACCCCCCCCCCCACCUGUCCCACCUGUGAGGGGGUGUGCAGUGUUUGUCUUAGACUCUCAGCUAGAGAUUGGAGAAGAUGAGGAGACCUGGCCACACACUUGCUGAGUACUCACUCCAAACAGAUUUCACUACCAUCCACGCAGGCAUUGACAUGUUUGUCUUCCUAAUGGCCUCUGAGAUAAGUUCUUUUAUUAUCCACACUUCACAAAGAACAUGCUAGGUGGUGAGCAGAUCGCCCAAAGCCAGCAGCUAGCAAGUCUCAGAGCCAGGAGUCCUCCUCUUCAGGUCCACACACCCCUGUCUUCUAAAAGCAGAGGUGUUGGUGCUUCCAGAAGUCCAAGGAAGGUAGGGCAGGGCCCAGAGACUCGAGCCCCCUGGGCAGGACUGGAGCUGAGGACUCUGAGACCCUGAGUUGAUGCAUGAGCUGCCUGGUCACAAACCACACAUGGGGACUGCCAGGCCUCCUACAAAUUAUAACCUACAAAUUCCGUGUACUGAACUUAGCCACGAAAGAUGAGAGGGAAUGGACACCAACUGAAGGAUGGCCAUAGCCAGCCCCGCCCAGCAGGCACAGAGGUCUUGAUCAAGUCAACAAAUUUGAGUUGAGCCUGCUGUUACGGGCUUUGUGAGAUACCCAUGUGGGUCAGACACUAUGUGGAACACAAGACAGAUGUUAACACACUCGCUGUGUAUCUCAAGAAUCAGCUCAUCCUCUGGGAUGCUCCUUGGAGGCCUUCCGGACCAAUCCCCACCCCCACUGUCUACGACAAACUUUCCCCUCAGCACAGCCCUGGG